UGUAGGCUAGCAAAACACAACCCACGAACAUAAUAGCACAACCUUAUAAAUACAGAGAUUAUAUGUAAUUUGCAUUGGUGAUUGGUUAGUUGGCAAACGGUGCUUUUGGGUUCUGCUGCUGAGCGGUGGUGCUGCUGGUUGCUAGUGGUCUUGGUUUAACCGAGAUUGGAUCAGUUAUGGCCACCUUCUUUGUUCUUUUAAGACUCCUUUUCUUCUUUAUCUCUUCUUUUUCAGUUGCUCGAAUUCAAGGCCUUGGCGUUGGGAUCAACUAUGGGCAGAUUGCUAAUAAUCUUCCUUCUCCAUCUCGAGUUGCUUAUCUCCUUCAAUCUCUCAACAUUUCAAGGGUAAAACUCUAUGAUGCUGAUCCAAAUGUUCUAGUUGCUUUUUCCAAUUCAAAUGUUGAUUUCAUUGUUGGACUUGGAAAUGAGUACCUUCAGAACAUGACUGAUCCAAUUAAAGCUCAAACUUGGAUUCAACAGCACCUUCAACCUCACCUCCCUCAAACUAAAAUUACUUGCAUUACUGUAGGAAAUGAGGUCUUUAAUAGCAACGAUACUCAGUUAAGGUCUUAUCUCCUUCCAGCAAUGCAAACAGUUUAUCAUGCUCUUGUUAAUCUUGGUCUAGAUAAGCAAGUUAUUGUCACAAGUGCUCAUUCCCUUACCAUCUUAGCCUACUCCUAUCCUCCUUCGGCUGGAACUUUUAGACAAGAUCUUGCUGAAUACAUUCAACCCUUGUUGAACUUUCAUUCUCAAAUUAAUUCACCUUUUCUUAUCAAUGCAUAUCCAUUUUUCGCUUAUAAGGAUAACCCGAAUCAGGUGUCUAUAGAAUAUGCCCUUUUCCAGCCUAACCAAGGGAUGACAGAUCCAAUUACAAAUUUGAAAUAUGAUAACAUGUUGUAUGCUCAAAUUGAUGCUGUGUAUUCGGCAAUUAGAGCAAUGGGGCAUACAGAUAUUGAAGUAAGGAUUUCGGAGACAGGUUGGCCAUCUAAGGGGGAUUCUGAUGAAGCAGGAGCUACAUCAGAAAAUGCAGGCUUAUAUAAUGGAAAUUUGUUACAAAGAAUACAGGAGAAGCAAGGUACACCAGCAAAGCCAUCAGUCCCCAUUGAUGUAUAUGUUUUUGCACUUUUUAACGAGGAUUUAAAGCCUGGACCGACAUCAGAAAGGAAUUAUGGGCUCUUCUAUCCAGAUGGUACCCCAGUUUAUAACAUUGGAUUACAGGGUUAUCUUCCAGAAUUAACUUAUUCUUCGGCAUGCAAGAUAAAUGUUUUAUCUCUAUUCAGUCUGGUGAUCUUUGUUCUGGCAUGCGUAAUCUGUGCUUAGGAGCACCUGAAUUCAUUGGUAGAGAUUUUGUUAUGAUACAACGAAAAUCUUAAGAGAGCAUAUAAUUUCAAGAGGAGUGCUUUUAAGGCAGGCUAAAAUUGGCAGCAGGGGUUAUUCCAGCAGUUUGCAGAGAGCAUCUCUUUUACAAGUUUCUUUAUAUAAACCAAUAAAAUAUUGACAGUAUUGAUCACUAACAAAUCCUGGAUUGGUUAUUCAUCUAUAGGAGCCAAAGUAAUAUAGAAAGGUUUUAGGGAAUAUGGUGAAACUAAGUUUAGGCAGAUAGAUGUUAUAGGAAAAAGUAAAUGGAAAACAAAAACAAUUCUUUUACAGAUGUCUAAUAAGGAAAAGUUGGUCAAAUCUUUAGAAGGCUAAAGCUGAUUUUUUUGUUUCUUUCUUAUAUUUGUAUUUUAUGAACUCAUUAGAAUUUUGCAGUUAAUUGAGCAUUUUUAUUUAAUGGAAUUGAGGCUUUUUGUUAGGAA